rnacentral:lncRNA from 1 species
CUCAGUUUAAUUCCUUCCUGCCUUUUAGCCUCAUAUCAAUGGACCUCUCCACCACCCACCCAACCCCCAUGUCAGCUGGCAGACGAUUCCGCCAUCCUGUCUCCUUGCCAGGGCAGAGAAAAUGGUGGACUGUGUUCCUUGAAGGUGGACAUAUUUGUUUGGACGUUUCCACUUGCACCCCGAUUUGGAAGCAAACCCCUUUUAGAUCAGCGGAGCUCACAAGGAAACAUGUUUAGGGACUUAGGGGAGACCGAUCUGCUCUCUUUCCAGAAACAUGAAGCAGCCCCGGCGGGGAAGCCGCUUCCACAGGUGCUUUCUGAAAUAGACGGUGCUUCCCUCCCUCACCAAUGAAACAUUUUCUCAUAAACUGUCAGGCUAAGACUGCAAACCUAUGCGCACUUGCUAGAAGUGAGGGUAAACCUCACUGAACACGGGAUAUUUAUUCUACGUAAACAAGACGCUGAGAUUGGACGGCACGGGGUACAUUUUCGGGGGCAGUUCAGUUUAAGAACAGCGAGCAGUGCGGCUCAUCUAUCAUCGCUAAGGUCAAGUUAAUGUUACUUUUUAAGAAUGCGCGUUGUUGUUCUUCUUAAAAUGAUUGCUAUAUAGUACAGUACAGUACUGUGUAGUAAAUUCCUUGCAAUGGCGGCGGGUGGCAACGAGAAGCCGUGGAAGAUGGUGUACUAGGAGGAAGAGGAUGGGUCAAACGUUUCCCUAUUUACAAGAGUGCAGCAGCGCCAGCACGAAUCGAAGGGGACGCGCGCGCAGCCAGCUCUUCUGGCCUUGUUUAUAAUCGUCACGUGGAGCAGUUCUUGCACACACACACCCCCCGAGAAGAUGAGUAAACAAACAGAACUGUCUCACUAAGAGAUUUCAAAAAUAGGAGUUUAUGCCUUGUUGUGUUCCUUUACUUAUUUUCUCCCAGUUCAGCUUGGAUUUUUCAAUGUGGAUUUAAUUUAUUUUUUUUGCAGAUAUUUCAGUGGGAUGGGAGGGUCUUGAUGAUGAUUUAGAUUCACUACUUUUUGCUGGGUGCACUAAUGCACACCUUGUUUCUUAAUGGUAAACGACCACUUUAAAAUCUUGGGCUUUGCACUUAUGGAAAGCAGGAGGACCAUAAUAGCUGCAGGGGAUAUGUGAGGAUCUGGCUCACUAUCCUAAUUAUUCAGCCCCCCCGCCUUUUUUUUUUAAAAAGGAAAACUAUCCCAUUACAAAUUGAUAUAUGGCAAAAUGUAAAGUUCAUAUGCUACCCACUGGCUCUCAGCCAAACUCUAGUUGUCUUAAAUGUGCCUUAGCGCCCUUCCAGAUGUUUUUUGUGUAGCUCUAUAGCUUCUGGGUCCCCCCCCAGACUUAUCCCCAUACUCCCACAUAUCAUUAUCAUUCCAUCGCUAUUCUGGAACACUGCAUCCACCAAACCACUUUUAAUUCAAUUGCAAAAAGAUCUGGCAUUUGUAAAAUAUCCAAAAUAGUUCUGAAAUGUUUGCGUUGUGUGGAAGUUUUGUGCAAUUGCCCACAUUUUGCAUGGCUGAUUGGUGUGUGUAGUUUGAGCAGCUCUGUUUUGCCCCUUCCCCUCCAUCAGACUUUUUGCACAGGAAGUUAUAUGUAGCUCUGACCAAAACAGUGAACUGGAGAAGUUAUUGCUGUCUGAUCUCCUAAUCUCCAUCAUGCUGGAAUAGCAAGGAUUAAACCCCACACCCCAUCCACACUCAUAACUCAUUUACUGGUUGAAGGGGCAAAUACAUUUACUUAUAAUUAUCACGAUACGUAAGAGGUGGAAUUAUUACUUGUGUUGGUAGGUCAAUACCGGGUUAGUGGAGGAGCAGGGAUCCCCCAAAUUUGUGGGUACCAGAUUUUUCCUUCUAGUUUCUUGGGUGCUGGGGUUUAAUCAGAGCUUUGACAAUUAAGGUGAGCUGACAGGCUGAGCUUGUUUUGCUGCAAGAUAGAGAGGCAGAGGGAGAUGAUGGCCCUGCCACUACCCCAUCGCAAAAGCCAUCUAGAAGACAAAAGACCCUACAAGGGCAACAUGAGUGUGAUGUCACACAGGGAAAAAAUUGUCCUUUUAUGCAGAGGUUUUGGGGCAAGGUGUUCUGGGAACAAGGAGGAGGAAUGUAGGCAAAACUCCAUGUGGCACUGGCUAGAGGAGGCUGCACUGUGAGACUGGAGGCCAUGAUUGGCUGUUGCUACUUUGGCCCCAAGCUUGCUGAAGCUGUGAGAGGAGCAAUGAGGGACACUCUUUGAACAUAAUGUUCUGCACCC